UCAUAUAGAUGCAAGAAUAACUGU
rnacentral:piRNA from 1 species